UACGUAGGUGGCAAGCGUUGUCCGGAUUUAUUGGGCGUAAAGCGCGCGCAGGCGGUUUCUUAAGUCCAUCUUAAAAGUGCGCGGCUUAACCCCGUGAUGGGAUGGAAACUGGGAGACUUGAGUGCAGGAGAGGAAAGUGGAAUUCCAAGUGUAGCGGUGAAAUGCGUAGAGAUUAGGAAGAACACCAGUGGCGAAGGCGACUUUCUGGACUGUAACUGACGCUGAGGCGCGAAAGCGUGGGGAGCAAACAGG
rnacentral:rRNA from 1 species